CCGGUUCAGAACUCGCAAUCGCGCACCUCUCCCCCUUCUCUCUCUUUCUCCCUCUCUCUCUUUCACUCACAACUUUCUCAAACCUUCCGACGAGGAAACUAACGUUCCUCUCUUUCUCUCUCUACAACACAAUAACGCGCCCCUCUCUGUCUCUCCAGCAAUGGAGAAAGUAGAUUUGCUUCAUGAUGCUGCUCGCCCUGUUAAAACAGCAGUCGACAAGUUUCAGUUGCUCCCAGAGUUCUUAAAGAUCAGGGGGCUUGUGAAGCAACACAUUGAUUCGUUCAAUUAUUUUGUGAACAAUGAAAUUAAGAAGAUUGUUCAUGCGCCAUCUAAUGAAAGAAUCACCUCUGAAGUCGAUCCCGCUUAUACUCUCAAGUAUCUUGAUGUAUCCAUCGGAACGCCAUCAUAUGAUACCAACACUGUUGCAGAAAAAGUCACCCCUCAAGAAUGCCGCCUAAGGGACAUGACGUAUUCAGCCCCAAUAAAGGCUAUUGUAGAGUACGCCAAAACCAAAGGAGGUGAAAUUGUGCAUUCCACGAUAACUAUUGGAUACUUGCCAAUAAUGCUACGCAGUUGCCAGUGCGUUUUGAGUGGAAAAGAUGAAGAUGAACUUGCGGAACUAGGUGAAUGCCCCCUGGACCCUGGUGGUUAUUUCAUUGUUAAAGGAUCAGAGAAGGUGAUUUUGAUUCAGGAACAACUUUCAAAAAAUCGUAUUAUAAUCGAAACAGAUGGUAAGGGAAGUGUUGUAGCUACAGUUACUUCUGUUACAAACGAGACAAAAAGUAAGACAAAUAUCGUCUUGAAAAAAGAGAAGAUUUAUUUAAAGCUCAAUGUGUUUAUCGAAGAUGUUCCGAUAAUAGUGAUCUUGAAGGCAAUGGGGAUGGAAAGUGACCAAGAGAUUGUACAAAUGCUUGGCAGGGAUCCAAGAUUCGGAAGCAUUCUUUUACCGUCCUUGCAGGAGUGUGCAUCUUUGGGAAUAUACAUGGAGCAUCAAGCCUUGGCUUUUCUUGAAUUGAAGGUGAAAAGAUCAGCUACAGCAAAUUCUGUUAAUGGAAAGGAAGGCAGAGCUAGAAAUAUUCUUCGUGAUGUGUUCCUGGCUCAUGUGCCGGUUAAACGCUUUAAUUUUCGUCCAAAAUGUAUUUAUGUUGCUGUUAUGUUGAGACGCAUGAUUGAAGCAAUCCUUAAUCCAGAUACCAUUGAUGACAAGGAUUAUGUGGGGAAUAAACGUUUGGAGCUCUCUGGCCAGUUGAUUUCCCUACUUUUCGAGGAUCAGUUUAAAUUCUUAAAUUCAUUGGUCAAGCAGGAAAUUGAUAAGAUUCUCAGGAAGAGUGACCGAUCUAGUGCUUUGAAUAUGGGAAUGCUCCUACGAAGUCACAGAGAUGUCAUAACAAAUGGCCUGGAGCGGGCUAUCUCUACUGGAAACUGGGAUGUGAAAAGGUUUCGGAUGAACCGGAAAGGCGUAUCCCAGCUUGUUUCUAGACUGUCAUUUAUUGCGGCCUUGGGCCACAUGACACGAAUCUCUUCCCAAUUUGAGAAGACGAGGAAAGUUAGUGGACCAAGGGCAUUGCAACCAAGCCAGUGGGGUAUGCUUUGCCCGUGCGAUACUCCUGAAGGUGAGGGUUGUGGUCUUACUAAGAACUUGGCUUUGAUGACCCAUGUUACAACUGACGAGGACGAGGGUCCACUGAUUUCUCUGUGCUAUAGAUUGGGAGUGGAAGACUUGGCUUUGCUAUCUGGAGAGGAGCUACAUUCAUCAGAUAGCUUCUUGGUUAUAUGUAAUGGGCUAAUACUUGGCAAACAUAGACAACCGCAGAAUUUCGCUACCUCUCUGAGAAAGUUGCGGCGAGCUGGCAGAGUUGGUGAGUUUGUUAGCAUUUUUGUCAACGAGAAGCAGCGCUGUGUUUAUAUUGCUUCAGAUGGGGGUCGCGUUUGUCGUCCACUUGUCAUUGCUGACAAGGGCAUCUCUAGGAUAAAGGAAUAUCAUAUGAAGGAAUUACAGGAUGGAUUUCGGGUGUUCGCCGAUUUCUUGCGGGAGGGACUUAUUGAGUAUCUUGAUGUUAAUGAAGAAAAUAAUGCUCUGAUUGCAUUGUAUGAGGGAGAGGCAACACCAAAUACCACACAUAUUGAAAUCGAGCCCUUCACCAUACUAGGCGUUUGUGCUGGAUUAAUUCCUUAUCCUCAUCAUAACCAGUCUCCUCGAAAUACUUAUCAGUGUGCAAUGGGAAAGCAAGCAAUGGGCAAUAUCGCUUAUAAUCAGCUAUCUCGGGUCGACACCUUACUGUACCUCUUGGUUUAUCCUCAGCGACCACUUCUGUCGACAAAAACAAUUGAGCUGAUCCACUAUGACAAGCUUGGGGCAGGGCAGAAUGCAACGGUUGCUGUGAUGAGCUACAGUGGCUAUGACAUUGAAGAUGCAAUUGUCAUGAAUAAAGCUUCACUAGAUCGUGGUUUUGGUCGUUGUAUUGUGAUGAAAAAAACUACUGUUCUUAGUCAAAAGUACAGCAAUAAAACCUCUGACAGGAUAGUCAGGCCUAGGAUGCUACCAACAGGGAAUGGUGAUUUUGUUCUCGAUCCUCGUUUUCAGAUACUAGAUACUGAUGGAAUUGCUUGUCCUGGUGAAAUAAUUGGACCUAAUGACAUUUAUGUAAACAAGCAAAGUCCUGUAAAUACAACUGCCACUCCCAAUAGGGAAUUAUCUGACAGUCAAUAUAAGAACACACCUGUAACCUACAAAGGCCCAAAAGGGGAAACAGCUAUUGUUGAUAAGGUGUUACUAAUGUCAGAUAACAACGAAAACAUAUGCAUCAAAUUUCUCUUUCGUCAUACCCGAAGGCCUGAGGUGGGUGAUAAAUUCAGUAGCAGGCAUGGGCAGAAAGGUGUUUGUGGUACCAUCGUACAGCAAGAAGACCUUCCAUUUUCUGAACGUGGGAUUUGCCCCGACUUGAUUAUGAAUCCUCAUGGUUAUCCUAGUCGAAUGACAAUAGGGAAGAUGAUAGAGCUACUUGGAAGUAAAGCAGGGGUUUCAUGUGGUAGAUUUCAUUAUGGUAGUGCAUUUGGAGAACCAAGUGGUCAUGCAGAUAGAGUCGAAGCUAUAAGUGAGAUCCUUGUCAGGCAUGGAUUUAGUUAUAGUGGGAAAGAUAUGAUCUAUUCAGGCAUAACUGGGUAUCCGUUGCAAGCAUAUAUAUUUAUGGGGCCAAUUUAUUACCAGAAACUGAAACACAUGGUCCUAGAUAAGAUGCAUGCUCGGCCUAGCGGGCCUAAGGUGUUGCUCACUAGACAACCAACCGAAGGACGGGCUCGGGAUGGAGGACUAAGGUUAGGGGAAAUGGAGCGUGACUGUUUGAUAGCUUACGGUGCAAGUAAUAUGAUCCUAGAACGCUUGAUGAUCUCCAGUGAUAAGUUUCAGGUUCAGGUUUGCACAAAAUGUGGUUUGUUGGGAUAUUACCAUCAUACAUUGAAAAUGGCCUGGUGUACAUCAUGCAAGAACGGAGAUAAUGUCUCUACUUUGACACUACCUUAUGCAUGCAAGCUUCUAAUCCAGGAAUUGCAAGCAAUGAAUAUCGUCCCUCGUCUCCGACUUUCAGAGGCAUGACAAGCUUAAUUGUGCAGUUAAGACAUCCAAAUUCCAUGAACUGCUAAUUGCAUAUGACUAACAUGUGAGAUCCACGCAUACAACUGCUUGGAAAAUGUCCACGAUUAUGAAAAGUUAAGUAAAUCGUCUUCAUGAUGCAUCAUGGGGUGUUAACCAAGCGAUGGAAGGAACCUUGAAAAAUGGAUUUGUGGAGGCUGCAUCCCUCAAAGUUUCUGAAGAUUGAUGUCUUGGAGCUGCUACUCCUGCAAUAGCGGGUUCUGUGUUUUGUGAAUUGAAAUCGAACCCCAAAUGCAAGAAGUUUUGAGUUGCCAGUUUUCAUUAAAACAAAUUUGGAUUGUCAGUUUGGUCAGGAAAAUCAGCUUCUUAUGGACGACCUACCAUAGCAUAUUUAUUGGAGAUUAUACAUAGGAGACUAUGACAUUGUGUUUCUACCUGUUAUAAAUACGAAAGAUAAGGUGGUUAGGCUAAAUUUUGUGAGUCAAAAUAGCUGCUUAAGCUGAGGUGCUAAAACUUGAACAUGGGCUUUGGCUUAUUGUCUUCUGAGUUGAUUAGGGAGUAAAUCCCAACUCUUGAGUUAAAAUCCUUUGCGCGGUAAUUUUUCAAGUCAUUUGUGAGGAUGAAUGAGGGCUUUGAAUUUAUCUUUGGAGUUGACUUAGGGAGUACAUCCCAACUCUUAGAGUAAGAAUUCAAUGUCCGGUAUAAUGUCCGGUAUCAAGUAAUUUUUGAAGAAUUCCUCUCUCUCUAUAUAUAUAUAUAUAGAGGGCAAUGAUGUAGUAUGCGAUGUCGCGUUUAUGGUUGUUGUGCGCAGAUGGUGAGGAUUUUUCCCAUCUAAUCGGACGGCCCAAAGUGAGUGGGGGGAAAUUUAAACCCAGUGUCUAAGCACACUCGCUCUCCCCCCUGUAAGCGUCUCUCUCCCUCGCUCUUUCUCUAAGUAUGCUCGCUCUCCCCCUUGUAAUGCUGAAAGGCCUCUCUCUCUAAUGCUGAAACCUUGAAACUCCCUCUCUCUAUCUCUCUCUCUAAGCACACAAACCCUGAAACCCCCAAAUAUUUUUUCGUGUGCACUGAAAAUCCCUCUCGCUCUCUACUGCGGAUCAGAUUCCUAACAGUUGAGGAUUUCGAGCUUUCACCCAUUUCAGCAUGUAAAGUACGACAAAAGUGAGGAGACACAUAAUCUUCAAAAGAAAGGUAGUAGCAGCCAUUGUUCCCAAUCGUCAUUAGAUUCAUAUGGUUACCCAUUUGAGAGGGGUGGAAAUAGAAGGAAUUGGUAAAUUGAUGUUAAAGUUUACUGGCCUCACGAAAUUGGAAUUGGCAAAUUGAUGCCUCACAUCGCCAAUCAGUGAUUGAGGAUAGAGCAAGGAGCUUUGUUUUGUUUGUCUAUAUCAUAUUUUUUUUGAAAGGAUUGUAAUUACCGAUGGAAUUUGACAGAUACACUCGACUUUUGUGUUGAAAAUGUAAUAUGGCUCCCUACUGUUUAUUGGAAAAGGGAUUUAUAAUCAAUUAAGUAAAACAUCAGCAUGCUCAUAA